UGAAUAUUCCAAAACAGCAGAAAUGACAGGAAGUAAAUACCUCAAAUGAUCAUGAAAGAUUACUGUUAGUGUUAUUUGAUGAAAAAAGGAAAUGCAUUUUAAUAACGUAAAAAAUAUAAAUUGUUCUGUAACCGUAAUCAAAGCUACCUGUAGGCUGUCUGAUGAAUUUAUAAACUCAUAAAAGGAGGUAUAGAAACAAACAGAUAUUCAAAAUAAUGUACAAACACAGUUUCAAAUGUCAGGACUUUGAUUUUCUUUAGUGAGGAGAAAUUUGCUGAUACCAGAUCUACACUAUUCUCGUAAAGGAUGUGAAUGGGUAAUCUUGUGCUGUCUCAGAAAAUAGUUAAUAAUGGGAAAGUGCUGUUUCACAUUACUGAGAUGAUACUGUUUUAAAUUAAACUAUACAUCUUUUGAGCUGACAAUAUGCUGAGAGUUAUAUGUGAUGUAGGAGAACAAAGACAGUCUGAUUUCAUUCACACCUGUCUAACAGAAUAAUUUCUGAAAGGUUCUUCAUUUAUGCUGGUAUAAACUCAACAUUUAGUUUACUGUCUUUACUAAGAAAGAUAUUGUGGUGUUUAAGAACAUGACCUGAAUUUGUCUAUCUCACAUUAGGUAAUUUAACUUUCGCACCUAAAUAAGGAGCAUUGUCGCUCUAGAAUCAAUGGAAAGUGAGUGUUGCUUUCAAAGGUAAAUCAGACACUGCUUACCUCUUCGUAUAUCCUCAAAAGCCAAGGGUGACUCUUAGUUUAGAUGCCCACUGAAAGGCCUCAAAGGAAGUGGGGUGAAUUUGGCUUUAAAUGUGUAUGGUCUUACAUCUAAGUAGAUUUCUGCAUCUGAGCAGUUCUAGUGCAUACACUGUCCAAACAAAAUUUUAUGAAACAUCCUGCAUAAAAUAAAACUACUGUUAGUAGAAUAAUACUUUUGUGUUAUCCUUUUUUUCUUUUUUCUUACAUUAUUUCACCACUUAGGAUCUCACAAAACUUUGUGAUGUGGUCAAGUGUAUGUAUUUAAAUUUUUAAAAUAUUGCUGGUUUUGUUUGUUUUGAAUAUGGGAGCCACUGUUAUCUUUCAGAAAGUGUUGAUGGCAAGACCUGAUUCCAUCUGCCCUUGAAUGCACAGUAAGUAUGUUUGGUGUUAAUUAAAAGACCACAAAAUAGCUGUAUUCCUAGAACAAAAAGAGUGAUUUUGUGCUCAGUUCUCAGGAACUGGACAACUGGUGCAAUCCAUAAUUUUGAAGUCUUUUAGUCUAUAAACACAGUAGCUAUAUGCAAACUGUAUAUUUAGAAUUGUGCCUCUUCUAAUUCCUGAACUAUACUCAGGCAUUUUUUUGGAGACUGGUAUUUGGCCCAGAGACCAUUCUAGCAAUUUAACAGUGUAGGUAGGCAAGUUCCAGCAGCCGUGAAUGUUCUCUUGUGUGUUUAAUUUAAAAAAAAAAAAGACAUGUAAUCAAGUUAACUGGAAUAACUGCAGCCCUCUGGAUCUCUCUUACUGAAUGGGGGCUGGCACAGCCAAUAUCUCUCAGAUCCAGAGACACAGGUAGUUCAGCAUUCUUAUUGCUGCUAAGGUCUGUAACCCACUGCAGGUGCAUCUGAGCUGCAACUAGUUUCCUGCAGCAGAGAUUUGCAGGUUUAACUAACUGAUUUUUUUGUUCAUUUAAUUUAGCAGAAGGUGCUUGAGGUAUACCUUAAACUUAGGAGCAAGAAUAAGACCUGAUUCUAUCUCUCCUGUGAACUUCAGCAUGUUGUAAAGCAAAGGAUGUUCCAGUCAAUUCUUUUCAUAAAUUACAUCCUACAGAUGCCACUUGAUUUCAAGAAACAUAAUCUCAGACCUGGCGAGGACUAUGAUAAGUAUACAGAAAUGAACUGAGAAACAGGAGAAACAAAAUGUUAUGCUGCUGAAGAGAAUAAACUUGAAAGCGUGUGUAGGAAUAUUCAGGUCUUAAUGAGCUGCCAUAUCAUGCACAAUGAAUGCCUGAAUAGUAGACUUUAUUAUUCACUUUAACUGAUCAGCUGAACAUUGUCUCUUUCAAACUACCAUAAGAGUACUGAUGGAAAGAUAAGUUAAAAGGAACUUUUGUUUGGAUGUAUUUUGAUUUUUUCUUUUCUUCAAAGCGGUGCUAUUAUUUUAUAUUCCCAAGCUGUGUUAAUUUGUAACUAGAUAGCUAUUACCCAGUGUAGCUCUAUAACAACAUUGUUGGCACCAAAGGAUGCUUUUCGAUGAGAGGGUGCAGCUUUACCUGCUGCGUAUAGAUUCAAUAUUGAUGGUUUCUCAACUGCCAGCAUCCUUUAGUGACGCAUUUGAAAGAAAAGUUGACUUCUGUAGUAAAGAAUUGUUUCAUGUUAAAGAAUGGACAGCACUGUUGCUGAACAAAAUAGAGGUGAUGUGAAAACAUGCAUAUUAUAGACAGUCAGAAUACUAUCAGUUAGUCAUGAUUUAGCCAGACUCAUAAUCAGAUCUUUAAAAGUAUGGCUGUAGCUCUCAUCCAUUCCUCAGCCUAAUUACUAACCUUCAUGACCCUCUUUAAUUGCAGGCUAGGCUAAGAUGAAUUUCCUUCCAUUUGCUGAAAGAAAAGAGCAAGCCUACACGAAGAUACCCUGGCUUUGUUGAUAUACUAGGAUUUUUUUUAAGCUGCUGUCACUUGAAUGUAUGUCUGUACUUCUAAAUUGCUCCAGGGUGCAUUUGCAAAUCUUACAGGUGCAUUUGCAAAGCUUACAUAAUGAAUGAUUCUGUUGACUUCAGUGUAUAGGAAUUUACCUAAUUGUAUUCCAUCUUCCUCUGAUAAUAGCCACACCUUAGUACCUUUAACACAUGAAGUGAAGAGAAUGAUUAGUAAAGAGCCAGGCUAGACAAUAAACAAAAAGCUCUGAUACUCAUUGUUCACAGAUUGUUUAAAGUGUUUGCCAGCAAUCGUUUGCAUUUAGUUCAGUUGGCUGUGCACAGCAACAGACUCAUAGCAUCCUUUACAGAAUCUCCCUUGAGAAGUUUAUAACUUAACAGUACAGUUUUAAACAGCUUAUAUAUAUAUAUAUCUCAUUGCUUUAGUGCCUCUUAAAUUAAUCUAGGUGCAUUUUUUUGAUUUAAAGGUGCAAGGAAAAUCAAAAGAAAAAAGUUAUGCAAUUCCCUUUAAAGUUAAAUAUAAAUAAAUAAAUAAUUAUAAAAAUAAAGACUUUCAGAUGCUAUUAAAGUUUCAGAAAAAAUAUCUGUAGGGUCAAUUUAACAGAUCUGCCAUUAAGUGUGUUAUUAAAUUAUUACUAUUCAUGCUCUAUAAUGUAUCCUGCAAAACAGCUACAAAUAUGACCAAUUUGCUUUUGUUCGACUUGUGAAACAGAAUCAGCUAGAUACACCAACUUUUAACUGAAAGAAGAUGUAAUAACCUCAUUAAAAGGUAGUCUUACCCAUAUUUAGAUACCUUGCAGUUACUCUUGUACUUACUGGCUUUUAUUUUGUGUUAUCAGUGAAGAUUUAGUAACUCAGUUUUGGUUUUUUGUUACUAUUACAGGUGUAUUAUUAGCAGUAAGUGUGAGAGCACUGGGAGAAAUGGUCCAUAGCUUUAAAGAUCUCAUAGUCUAAAUGGUAAAUAACUAUUAGCAUCUAUAUUUUAGAGAUUAAAAGUCCAGUAACUUACAUAAGGCUUAUAGAUAAUUCUACAGGUGUAAUGGAAUUUGAAUUUAAAUAGCUCAAAUCUCAGUCUGCUUCAGUGAAUCAUGUGCUACUUAUCCUUAAACAUAGUCAUUUCCAGUAUAGAAUCAGAAUCAUUUAGGUUGGAAAAGACCCUUCAGGUCAUCCAGUCCAACCGUUAACUUAACACUGCCAAUUCCACCACUAAACCAUGUCCCCAGGUGCCACGUCUACAUGUCUUUUAAAUACCUCCAGGGAUGGUGACUCAACCACUUCCCUGGGCAGCCUGUUCCAGUGCUUGACAACCCUUUCAGUAAAGAAAUUUUUCCUAAUAUCCAAUCUAAACCUCCCCUGGGCAACCUGAAGCCAUUUCAUCUCAUCCUAUCACUCGCUACUUGGGAGAAGAGACGGACCCUCACCUCACUACAACCUCUCAGGUAGUUGUAGAGAGCGAUAAGGUCUCCCCUCAGCCUCUUUUUCUCCAGACUAAACAACCCCAGUUCCCUCAGCCGCUCCUCGUAAGACUUGUGCUUUAGACCCUUCACCAGCUUCGUUGCUAUUCUUUGGAUGUGCUCCAGCAGCUCAAUGUCUUUCUUGUACUGAGGGGCUUCUCAGCCUUUUGGCUAAGAUUAAGUAUAUUGUAUUAUAUAUGUUGUGCAUGCAUAUCAUCAAAUUCAUGAAGUCCUGCUAACUUUGGGAGAGAGUCAAAAUGCUGGAAAGCAAGCAAUGUCUGCAGUGUGGAACUUAGUCUUACACAGAAAAUGUAUGCAGUGAAGUGCAGAGAGAUUUUAACGUGAUAAAGGCUCUCAGCAAAUACACUUAAUUUGCUCUGAAUUUAGAACUUAAACCAGACUCUGAUAUAGGAAGCUUGCUGGGAAAUAUUUAGGUUGUGGCUUAUGUUUUCCUUGCGAAUGAAGCACUUCUUUUUUGCUAGUAUGGCUUUUUAGCUGAAAGUGUUCUGAGACUGACCAUCCUUUAUUCCUCUUCUUUUUUUAUGCUGUGUAGUUUCCCUAUAAGACUUUUUUUUAUCUAUUUUAGAAAGAUAUAUUUGUUUGUCAAGAGUGACUUUGAUUAACUGUUUCAUUACUUUUUCCUUCUGUUCCUUUAAAAAUAGAAAUCAUACUUCCAAGCAUUUUGUGAAGGAAUCUAUCAGAAUUUCUUAAAGUCACAAGUUAGAAAAGUAGUCAGAAUAUAACUGUAGUUGCAAAGUACAACUAACACUUCAAAAUGUCUUCUUAUACCAACAAAAAGAAGCAUAAGAAUGUAACCUUAUUUUCUUUACAGCAACUUUAUUGAUAUAAUUGUAUCAUUUAUGUUGAAAUUACACCCAUUUUUAUUUAAAAUAAAAAAUUACCUUCAUUAAAACAAAUACAUAUAGUUUAAUAAUAAUAAUAAUAAUAAUAAUAAUAAUAAUAAUAUCUCCUAACUAGAAUUUUGUGGUAAAGCAAAUCUUCUGCAAUAUCUCUUGCACCCUUUGUGAUUUCAACUGUAGCAAGAGUGGCCAACAACUUAAUAGUUUUCUUGCUCUAAGGCAAAAUCUGUUCCUAGCACUUAAAACACUGCCAAAUUCAUAAAUAAAAAAUAAUUUAAAAUAUUUUAUCAUAUUUUAUUCUUGCAGAUCUUAUUUUUGAGUGAAGGUUGAAUAUUCUGCUUUCAUUUUGACAGAAAAAGGCACUCAUCUAAGUAAGUUCACCUGUAAAUUAGCUUACCUAUACCCCUCCAAAUUUGCAGACAGGCAGAUUUCUGAUAGGGCUACUUCCUUCUUCUUUCAGUAAAGUUUAAGUUUGGUUAAUUCGCCAGAGAGUAUUGAAUUUAAAUAAACAGGAGUUAAACUAUUUUAAAUGACUUUAACAUAUGGCCUCUACUGGUUACACCCCUUUUGACUUUGAGUUACAAGCCUACUUCUCCAAAACGAAAUCCUCAGUGACACCUCAAAUCUAUCUCAUUGUAAUCCUGUUAAAUAGAAACAUUUCCUGGGUGAUGGACAUUCUAGAGAUCCUGCAGAAAGUGCUAAUGUAUUUUACAUUAGCACAUCAUAUUAAACAUUACUUCUGGACUCAAGAGUACUCCUUAUGCUUUGCAUUCAGUGCCAACAGAGAAUAUAUGUUAGUUUAACAACAAUGGGCCACUCAAUUCUUACACAAAAAGGUUGUAAAAGUGGCCUAAGAUCUUUACCCAGGAGAUUAGUAUAUAAAAAAAUAGAUGCUUUUUGUAUCAAAAUGAGAACUCUGACUCUCAGACCAUUAAUAUCAAGGCACAACAUGACUUCUCAUCCUGCUCUUAUGUGGUCAUCGUUAGGAUGAAGUGAUAGAAUGUUCUUUGAUGUCCUGACACCAACACAAAAGCUGUCUCAAGAAGAAAAAAUAGUAGUUUUAAUCAAUACAUAGUAAUAUAUAGCAGGCUUUCCUAAUAACUACUUUUCUUGCCUGAAUAUAUAUAGAAUCACAUUUUACUGGGUUAUAUGUUUCUAACUGAGGUCAGUAUCUGCUGGCACUAGGAAAGCGUGAUGAUAUGCUAGCUCAUAGUAUGCAUUGACAGAAGAGGUAGUCAGCACAGGGUGACUGUGCUCUAGAAUAUAGCCUAGAGUUUUUCAUUGGUUGCAUUUUAGCAUUGCCAAAAAAUACACUGUAAAUAGAUGAUUUUUAUUGUGCUCACAGGGCAUACUGUGGAAAGAGUGAUGAUCUCUUUCUUCAUCAGAAGACUUAGCAGAGUUUUUUCAUGCUAUGUCCUUCCCUGCUGCCAGCACAGCAGAGCAAAAGGGACAUAGCUGGAGGAGAAGAUAUAUGCCACAAUGUCCAUGCAAUGUGAUGACCCUCAGGAGUGUCACCUUUGCUGUGCAGCCACAAAUAUGAACUAGAGCAAGCCUAUUGCUUCGUCCUGGGGCAUGGAUAAAAUCUUGGAAAUCUCUUACUUGUGAGCACCCUACAGACUCAGAAAUGAGAAGGCAUUUAAAAAAUAACCCUUAAAAUUACUUUUACUUUUAAUCUCAUGAUAUAUGAGGUAAUCACACAACUUCCAUGACCUUGACUGAAGCUCUUAAAAGAUUGAAAAUGCCCAGGUGUGGGAUAUAGUCGUGUAACAGAAAAGGUCAUUUUCUGGAAUGUAGGAAACACAAUGUUUCAGCUCAUCGGGCCCUAAGUAUAUGACACAGCACAACUCAAAAGCAGACAAAUAAGUUGACCAAAUGGACUUCUGCACAGCUUCUAGUGCUGGUUCAGAUCGAUAGCUGUGGCUAGAGUCAGCACAAAGGCUAGGCACUAAGAUACUGAUCAAAGCAAAUGCUGUUAUGUGGCCUCCUUCAGGUCUCAAGGAAUGUAGAGGCUUCAUUCCCUUAAGUUCCCAUGUUGGUGAAAGACACCAUUGUAGGUCCUUAAAGCCUUGGUUCUGAACUAGUGAAAAUGCCAACGUACGUACAAGGUAUGGCAUGUACAAGGCCAAGUUCAGGACUUAUGCUGACAGUGGGGAUGAGCAUCAUACAUUGUUAUUUACCAACAAAUUAGAUCUCAGAAUGUAAUAUCUUGAAAGUUAGUUUUGGUUUUAAUUUAUGUUUUUUUAAACCACAGAUUUCCAUUAGGAGUAGGUGAAUAAAAUAUGCACUUCCAUGAACUACUAAAAAUAACAUGAAAGGGUGAGAGAGAUGAGAGCUUUGCUAAUUCCAAGCAAUUCAAAUGAAAUACUUUAAAACUGGGAUGUCAUUUGCAAAAUCUCUAGAUCUCCUGCCUCAGUAUUAUGAAAUUAGAUGGUAGCAAAAUAAUUUUAUGUAGCAAACUCCUACUAUGUCUCAUCACUUGUAUUGUUUUCAGUUUUGUCAUCUAACUUCUAUGUGUUGGGGGUUUUAUUUAUUUUCUAUGAAUAAACACUGAGCAGCUAUACAUAUGUAUCCUCAAAAACCAGAAGCACCUCAUUUUAGAAGGGGCUCCAAAAGCAAGCAGCAUCUGAUGCGCUACUACUGUACCUUAGCAUAGUAUCACUGAAGAUAAUGAAGCUGAGCAGGGCUACAACAGUUGAGGGUAGGUAGCCUUCUAUCUGCAGAAAAAACGUCAGCGUGGGACAGAGACUUCAUCUUGAUGACAGGAUAGCGUAACAUCUGGGAUGUGAGCCAGAAGAUAGCUACUGUAAAACUCAGCCUGUGCAAUGCAUUAUGUCCCCCGCCAAAUCCCCCCUCCUGCUUUCCUUCUGAAAAAGGAGGACUGUCCACAGCCCCAUUUCGACUGGGAAAAGUGAUCUCUUUGAAGAUUUAACCUCUUUAGUUUUCUGUGUUUUGGCUUCUGUUCAUUUAGAGAAAUAAAUAAAAGCUCUCAUUAGUGUUGUGUAAUCAGCCUAUAAUCAGAAACACAAAGGGAAAAUACUGACUGGCACUUGAACUACCUACUACUUUGUUCUCUUACAAGGCAGUAUGGCAGUCUCUGUUCUGAUAAUAAAUAAAGAAGGAUAUUGGAUCUUUAUCUAAAAGCUGUGCAAGAACUCGCUGGGUACCUAUUUCUGUGCUUUGGGUGCCUGAAUGGUGGAAAAACUAUUGAUAACAAAAUAGAUCACAGAGGUUUAAAAGAUUGAAGGAUAGGCCAAGUGGUUGCUAAGCUUUAGAUUUACAGCUCUCUUUGAAGACCUGACUGAAAUCAUAAUGAUAAAGGAUUUUUGCUUAGCAUGCCUGCUAUGGUUUUGUGAGAAAUCAGGUACCUUAGACUAUGUCUGUACCUAUGUGCUGAACCACGUGGUAGUAUACUCCUGGGGCUGGUUUCUAUUCAGGGCAUUUUUACGUGAGCUCUGAAUCUACAUGCCCAGGUUUAUCUCAUGGCUACAUCCUGCACCCAAAUCCCUGUACGUGUCCCAGAUCUGAUAAUGUAGUCAUAUCCUGAAGAGACUUACCAACAGUGGAGGUAUUUUGUUUUGCAGAACACAAUAACAAAGGAUGAUACCUGGUGAAACCAUAAAAUCCCAGCAGUUUCAGCUCUUUUUCAUUUAAAGAUUCUGAAUUUAAGCUCAGAAUUAAAAAUAAUAGCCUUGAAUUUGAAACCCAUGCAAGUGACAUUGAAGUAAAGGUUUAAAUUGGGCAUCACUGAAGUUGAUUGUCACUCCAUAUGUUAAAAAGUAAAGGCAAAGUAGUUAGACAAUUAGAAGCAGUUUGUUGUUUUUACUAAUUGGUUCAUUUCUUUCUCUCUUUUAAAAUGCAUGGCAGUCCUUGGUUGCCUUUUCUGAUGCAUGAAUGCACAAUGCUGCUUGUGUUUCAGUACAGGCCACCUGAACAGAAGAUCUAGUUAUAUAAGAUUAGCAACAAAAUUAGAACUUAUUUAGAAAACAUCAUAUAAAGACCAGUCAAGUAAAUCAAACAGACAAAAAUAACGUGAAUAAAAAAAUCCUGAACUGACUUUGGAACGAUCUUUCAAGCCAGAUAAAAGAAGGGAGUAAUUAACCUAACCUUUGGGCGGAACUGCAAAGCGUGUACUUGCAUAAAACAGCAUGCCUCUUGCCUACAUGGAAAAGAUUUACUCCUUAGCGAGGGCUAAGAUGUUCUCCAAGAGGCACCCUUUCUAUAUUGUUUUGAAUCUGUAUCUGUAGCCAUGUCAGCCAUAAUGCUUCAUUGGUUUUCUGUCACAGGCUUUCUUUAUGAUAGGGUAACCUGAUAUAGAGGAUUCUGAGUUACAUCAUCCAAGAUAAAGGUCCUAAGUGAAAUUUCCUUAUUCUUAGCAGGUUUUCUGUAGCAGGUGUUACAGAAAUUACAAUGCAACAGGAUUACAGGUGUUCUGCUGUUCUGCCCCAAUUCAAUAUUGGCUUAUUAGAACUCAGCCCCCAGAUACUCAAUGAAUAAGUGAUUUUUAAAGUCAGUAGAGUUUCACUCCGGCUCUUAAAGCUGAUGUAUGCCUGUUUUAAUGUGUAUGAGCCAGCUUAUAGCUCUCUUGCCUCCAGCCUUCUGAAGCUAAAGUUGGGCCAGCAGCAAGAGGAGUGGGUAUGAGAAAAACACUCUUGAGAUCCCUACAGUUAUAAAUUUUAUCCCAUUUUAUAAACAGGGCAGAGAUUACAGGUCUGAGGGGCAUGGAUCUUAGCCCAUUUUUCCUCAAGCACGUACCCUAGCACAGAAGAUUUAGGGAUGGACAUUUUGGAACCCUACAGCUACCACAUUUCCACUGGCAUUUCUCCUCCAAAUUAAUAGCUUGGAGAACGGAAAAAACAAGAAAUAGAGAGGUUAAGGAGAAAUGCCUGAUUUUCUAUCAGUGAUUUCUCCUUCAGAAUGAAAUUACCCCAUCAGGACCUCAGUUAGGAAGAAAUAAGAUUUCAAGUAUUAUAAACAUAAGAGUUUGUUUAAGCACGUAAUGUAACUCAGAGAAGACAAAAUAAGUUUUCCACUGAAUACAAAGGAAGGAAGAGUCAGUUUAAGAUUAUAAGAAGAUGAAAAGGGCUGUACUUGGUCAGAGCAACAGACCAUUGAACUCAGUGUGCUGUUUCCAGUAGUUGCCAUAUGUGAACACUUAGAGAAGAGUAAGAAGAGGGUAAAAAUAGGAUUCUUUUUCUGAUCGCUUUCCCAGCCUCAGGACUGAGCUAGAUGUAUUUAGCAAAUCUAAAUAGAUUUCUUUUCCAUUAGUUUUUUUCAGUCUUCCCUUGAGCCCAUGUAAAAUUUAGAAUCUAUUAUAUCCUCUGGCAGGGAGUUCAACAAGGCUGUUAUUCCUUACUUUAAGUGCCAUCUUUCAGUGUUUGUUUUCACCCUGGCUCCUGUCAUCUCUUUUCUAAGCUGAAGAGUCCUUGUUUACUUAGUCAUUCUUUGCUUGAAAGCAUUCCACUCCUAUAAUCAUCUUUGCUUCCCUUAUCUGAUUUUUUGUUAUUAUCUUUCCUAGGGAUUCAAGAGCUGCACAUAAUGUUGAAGAUGCGGGCAAACACAAAUUUAGAUGGUAACAUUAUCAUCAGUUUUGUACUCCAAGUUAGUUUGCCUUUGAUGGUGGAGGUGGAAGUUGGCUAAUCACAUUUUAAAGGCAUUUGCCUUUUCCUGCAACUGUAACCAGUUCUGUUUUGUACUCUGAUUCUCAGACAGAGAUUUUGAAGUUUGCAUGUUAAGCACAGAAGUGUAAUAAAUAAAUUACAACCAUAUUAACUGAGUCUUUACAAGUCAUAUCAAAAAACUUCAGAUGCUGCUCUACAAAGCAAGGUCUCUGUUUACAAAGAAGAGUGGCCAAAUAAACACUUCAGUGAAAUUUAA